rnacentral:rRNA from 1 species
UACAGAGGUGGCAAGCGUUGUUCGGAAUUACUGGGCGUAAAGGGCGCGUAGGCGGCCAUCUAAGUCAGACGUGAAAUCCCCCGGCUCAACCUGGGAACUGCGUCUGAUACUGGAAGGCUGGAGUUUGGGAGAGGGAUGUAGAAUUCCAGGUGUAGCGGUGAAAUGCGUAGAUAUCUGGAGGAAUACCGGUGGCGAAGGCGGCAUCCGGGACCAAUAAUGACGCUGAGGCGCGAAAGCUAGGGGAGCAAACGGG